UACGGAGGGUCCGAGCGUUAUCCGGAAUCAUUGGGUUUAAAGGGUCCGCAGGCGGUCAAUUAAGUCAGAGGUGAAAUCCCAUAGCUUAACUAUGGAACUGCCUUUGAUACUGGUUGACUUGAGUCAUAUGGAAGUAGAUAGAAUGUGUAGUGUAGCGGUGAAAUGCAUAGAUAUUACACAGAAUACCGAUUGCGAAGCAGUCUACUACGUAUGUACUGACGCUGAGGGACGAAAGCGU
rnacentral:rRNA from 1 species